GUGUCAGCAGCCGCGGUAAUACAGAGGGUGCAAGCGUUAAUCGGAAUUACUGGGCGUAAAGCGCGCGUAGGUGGUUUGUUAAGUUGGAUGUGAAAGCCCCGGGCUCAACCUGGGAACUGCAUCCAAAACUGGCAAGCUAGAGUACGGUAGAGGGUGGUGGAAUUUCCUGUGUAGCGGUGAAAUGCGUAGAUAUAGGAAGGAACACCAGUGGCGAAGGCGACCACCUGGACUGAUACUGACACUGAGGUGCGAAAGCGUGGGGAGCAAACAGGAUUAGAUACCCCGGUAGUCCACGCCGUAAACGAUGUCAACUAGCCGUUGGAAUCCUUGAGAUUUUAGUGGCGCAGCUAACGCAUUAAGUUGACCGCCUGGGGAGUACGGCCGCAAGGUUAAAACUCAAAUGAAUUGACGGGA
rnacentral:rRNA from 1 species